ACAUAUUUUUAUGUCUAUGUAUGUAUAAAAUACAUGGCAUUCUGACAGAGAAGAUUAGCAUGGCCCCUGCACAAGGAUGACACGCAAAUUUGUGAAGCAGUCCGUAUUAAA